ACAGGUUAAGCUCUUGGGACCU
rnacentral:miRNA from 2 species